rnacentral:rRNA from 1 species
UGCCAGACUCCUACGGGAGGCAGCAGUGGGGAAUAUUGCACAAUGGGGGAAACCCUGAUGCAGCGACGCCGCGUGAGCGAUGAAGUAUUUCGGUAUGUAAAGCUCUAUCAGCAGGGAAGAAGAUGACGGUACCUGACUAAGAAGCCCCGGCUAACUACGUGCCAGCAGCCGCGGUAAUACGUAGGGGGCAAGCGUUAUCCGGAUUUACUGGGUGUAAAGGGAGCGUAGACGGCGAUGCAAGCCAGAUGUGAAAGCCCGGGGCUCAACCCCGGGACUGCAUUUGGAACUGUGUGGCUGGAGUGUCGGAGAGGCAGGCGGAAUUCCUAGUGUAGCGGUGAAAUGCGUAGAUAUUAGGAGGAACACCAGUGGCGAAGGCAGCCUGCUGGACGAUGACUGACGUUGAGGCUCGAAAGCGUGGGGAGCAAACAGGAUUAGAUACCCCAGUA